ACGGAAGGCAGCAGUGGGGAAUAUUGGGCAAUGGGCGCAAGCCUGACCCAGCAACGCCGCGUGAGGGAAGAAGGUUUUCGGAUUGUAAACUUCUGUUGUAGAGGAAGAACAUAUAUUAGAGGGAAUGCUAAUGUAAUGACGGUACUUUACGAGAAGGCCACGGCUAACUACGUGCCAGCAGCCGCGGUAAUACGUAGGUGGCGAGCGGUAUCCGGAAUUAUUGGGCGUAAAGAGGGAGCAGGCGGCAGCAAAGGUCCGAGGUAAAAGCCUGAAGCUCAACUUCAGCGAGCCUUGGAAACCGAGCAGCUAGAGGCCAGUAGAGGAAUGCGGAAUUCCAUGUGUAGCGGUGAAAUGCGUAGAUAUAUGGAGGAACACCGGUGGCGAAGGCGGCAUUCUGGGCUGGAACUGACGCUCAGUCCCGAAAGCGUGGGGAGCAAAUAGGAUUAGAUACCCUGGUA
rnacentral:rRNA from 1 species